rnacentral:rRNA from 1 species
UGGGUAACCUGCCUCAAAGAGGGGAAUAGCCUCCCGAAAGGGAGAUUAAUACCGCAUGAUAUGUUUAAGUCGCAUGACUUUAACAUCAAAGGAUUUUCUUUUAGAAAUUCCACUUUGAGAUGGACCCCGCGGCGCAUUAGCUAGUUGGUGAGGUAACGGCUCACCAAGGCAACGAUGCGUAGCCGACCUGAGAGAGUGAUCGGCCACAUUGGAACUGAGACACGGUCCAGAUCCGUACGGG